ensembl:snRNA U1 U1 spliceosomal RNA
AUACUUACCUGGCAGGGGAGACACCAUGAUCACAAAGGUGGUUUUCCCAGGGCAAGACUCAUCCAUUGCACUCCAGAUGUGACCUCUAUGAUUUCCCCAAAUGUGAGAAACUUGACUGUAUAAUUUGUGAUUAUAAUUUUUUAAUUAAAAAAU